rnacentral:rRNA from 1 species
AUUGAACGCUGGCGGCAUGCUUUACACAUGCAAGUCGAACGGCAGCGCGGGCUUCGGCCUGGCGGCGAGUGGCGAACGGGUGAGUAAUACAUCGGAACGUGCCCAGUAGUGGGGGAUAGCUCGGCGAAAGCCGGAUUAAUACCGCAUACGACCUAGGGUGAAAGCGGGGGAUCUUCGGACCUCGCGCUAUUGGAGCGGCCGAUGGCAGAUUAGCUAGUUGGUGGGGUAAAGGCCUACCAAGGCGACGAUCUGUAGCUGGUCUGAGAGGACGACCAGCCACACUGGGACUGAGACACGGCCCAGACUCCUACGGGAGGCAGCAGUGGGGAAUUUUGGACAAUGGGCGAAAGCCUGAUCCAGCAAUGCCGCGUGUGUGAUGAAGGCCUUCGGGUUGUAAAGCACUUUUGGCGGGAACGAAAAGGACUGUGCCAAUACCACGGUUCGAUGACGGUACCCGCAGAAUAAGCACCGGCUAACUACGUG